GAUGAACGCUGGCGGCAUGCCUUACACAUGCAAGUCGAACGGCAGCAUGGAGAGCUUGCUCUCUGAUGGCGAGUGGCGAACGGGUGAGUAAAGCAUCGGAACGUACCGUGUAGUGGGGGAUAACGUAGCGAAAGUUACGCUAAUACCGCAUACGCACUGAGGUGGAAAGCAGGGGAUCGCAAGACCUUGCGCUAUACGAGCGGCCGAUGUCAGAUUAGCUAGUUGGUAGGGUAAAGGCCUACCAAGGCGACGAUCUGUAGCGGGUCUGAGAGGAUGAUCCGCCACACUGGGACUGAGACACGGCCCAGACUCCUACGGGAGGCAGCAGUGGGGAAUUUUGGACAAUGGGGGAAACCCUGAUCCAGCCAUGCCGCGUGAGUGAAGAAGGCCUUCGGGUUGUAAAGCUCUUUCGGCUGGGAAGAAAUCGCACAGGCUAAUACUCUGUGUGGAUGACGGCACCAGCAUAAGAAGCACCGGCUAACUACGUGCCAGCAGCCGCGGUAA
rnacentral:rRNA from 1 species